GGAAGAGGUCCAGUCUCUCCACCCUCUUCUCCAGCUCGUACUCAGCCGACGCCGCCAUGGGAUCCACGUCAUCAUUACGCCGGUCGUAGUCCUCGUUGGAGUACGUGGUGAACACCUGCCAAGAGAAGACAAAAAGGUCAUAGAACUAGACGUGGGGUGUGCGCAGGAUGUUCCCUGAUGCUGGAAGGGGGCCCCCCCAGAGUGAAAAACUUUGGGAACCCUUGCAGUAGAAAAUGAUCUGAGGCCUCUCCCCGGAGCUAAAAGGAGAGCCAGGCAGGCAAGGCGCUAACGGGGCGGAAGGAGACGCCUCCAACAACCAGACAGACAGGGGUGGUGUUAUACGGCUCGCUGAUACAAACACACACCCUCAUGGCUUCUCGCUGAGCUAAUGGCUUCUCAUCCAACCUAAUAAAGUCUAUCUAGUUUCAUGUGUGUGAGUGCGAGGGAGAGGAGAGAGAGCGUGUGUGUAUUUAAGGCCUCUCUCCUCCCUCUGCAGCUAGCCAAAUUCACUCUGGCAGCGAGGACAUACUUCUGGGAGGUGUUGGGGUGCCAUGUUACGCUGGCAACACGUGGUUGUGGAGAGCGGUGGUGAGGGUGCUCCAGUGAGCGGCGAGGUGGGGCGUAUUUUAGUGGUACUCAGGUGAUUUAUAUUUAACAGGGGGAUGUAUUUUUCAUAACCUCCCGUCCUGCAUUAGUGUAUUAGAGAGGUGUCCGGGCAUGUCAGGGCGUUUUUUCGGUACGUGUUCUGCUUUCAGUGGGAUGAGGUUUAAUAUUUGAAAUGGGGUCAUGCACGUGGCUGUGGCCACACACACAUACACACACAGGUCAUGGAGUUUCACGUGUCUUAUUCAUGUCAUAGAUUGUGAGGAAUCCUUUAUUCGGUUAUUUGUUCUGACCCAGGGUUGCCAUGACGACGUUAUUAAUAUGCAUUUUGAAUUCAAUUGUCUAAAAAAACCCACCAACUAAUCAGAUGAACAACAACAGCUCUAACAGAGUUAUCCACAAGCGUGCUAAGAGGUAAAUAAGGUGGAUAUCCACUUGCUGAGGUUAAAGGAUAAACACAACCCUCAACCUUUACGAUUUUGUACUGCUCGAAUUCUAACGCCAAAUCCCAUAGUGGCCUAGUCCAGUUCUAUGUUAUCUAGGCCCAGUGAGCAAAAGUUGCCCAUACACAUCUUUUCAAUGCCUUGUGCUCAUAGGAGGGGAGUAAAGAAAGCACAGAUGUGAGAAAUAAUUCAAAGUAGGCAACAAGGGAAUUGAGUUCAUCAGCUGGUCAGGGGAGAAUGUAAUGAGCCGUGUGGUUUUUAUACAGGAACUGGAGGUUUACUGUGUAAGAGGCAGAAGGGAGAAGAGGCCAAAAGAAAACAUGACAAGCAAGGUUUUGGUCCAAGUCCUCGAAUCUCCUCUUCAAGUUCCAGCAUUCCAGAGUGAUACGAACACCGUCUGCCUCAUAAGCUCUUACGAAAAGAAGAUUGCAAGCCACCUCCCCAACAAUGCAGGAUUCAAUAUCAAAAUAGUCAUACUUUUUUCAAUUAAAAAAAAUUAAGUAUAGGAGUGUGAUGCGUCUUCUUGUCAAGUGAAAGACGUCACCUUAUCAGACGCUCUAUUCGGGGCUGCUAGUAGGUGUUGUCGCGCACCUCUGCUCCAAAAAGGCAGAAGCUUCAUAGUAACUGUGUGCAAGCCAGAUCACUACCCCUAGUAAAUACCAAUACCUCUUAGCUUUCUUUCACACCAGAGACGGACUACUUAUCACAAAGCCACACUGAACCGUAAAUCAACAUGAUUUUAACUGAUGAGGGCUCAAUUUCAUCACAUCAUUUGCAUAACACCUCCCGAAUGGAAUAUAAGCCUAAAAACGAUGCCUCUGAUUUUACAGCUCAUUUCAGCUGGUGAAAGCCC